UUUUUAGACCUGUGCAAUAGUAUUUUAAAGCACCGCUUCAGGGUGGGAACACAGCAGAGCAACUUUGAUUUAUUAUGUGCCGCAGCCAUCUGGAGAAGG
rnacentral:SRP_RNA from 3 species